AAGUCGUAACAAGGUUUCCGUAGGUGAACCUGCGGAAGGAUCAUUAAUGAUUGGUGGCUCUCUCGAGGGCAUGUGCACAUCCUUCAUCUUUAUAUUUCCACCUGUGCACCUUUUGUAGAUCUGGAAUUUUGUCCAGUCAACUCGUUGACUGUGUUUGAAAGGACUGCUGUGCUGUGAAAAGCCAGCUUUCCUUCACAUUUCCAGACCUACGUAUUUUAUAUACACCCCAUUUAUGUUACAGAAUGAAAUCUUCAGGCUUUUCAAAGCCUAUAAAAACAAUAUACAACUUUCAGCAACGGAUCUCUUGGCUCUC
rnacentral:misc_RNA from 1 species